UGAUGCAUCCGAACCAUUUGGGACUUGGGAGUAUCAUCACAUGGCUUUGGUAAACCCAUUUUCUAGCCUAACCUCCAGGCUCCAGUGAUAAGCAAUGGGUAGAUCAUAUUAGCAAAACCUUGAAAAACCAGCUUGCCAUUAACGUCGAUACACCUCCACUGUCCAUAUUUCAAAUUCCUCAAAUCCUAAAAGACGAAAACCUGGAAGCGUAUGCCCCACAACGGAUAGGGCUUGGUCCUAAUCACCAUUUCAAGCCAGAGCUCUAUCAGAACAUGGAGCAAAACAAACUCACUUCGGUGAAAAGGGUACUUAAGUCUAAUAAAGUUCAAGUCUCUGAGGACCAUGUCGUAGAUAAAGUCAAAGAGAUCAUCCCCAUAAUUUGUGCUUGCUAUGAUUUGUACCUUGAUGCUGAUGAUGACACCUUGGCAUGGUUAUUCACCAUUGACAGUCUCUUCUUUAUUGAUCUACUUGGUGCUUAUGUUGAUGAACAGGUUGCAAUAGAUGCAAAAGAUAUUAUAAUGUUAGAGAACCAGAUUCCUAUAAUUGUAUUGAAGGAAAUCCAAAAGGUCCUAUCAGGUAGCUAUGAUGAAGCCCAAGAAGAUUUCUGGGAAUCUAGGUUCGGGUUUUUCUGGACUUUAUAAAGGGGAAGAAAAGAAUGAGAUGCGUUUAGGCGUUUGUUCUAGAAGCAAUGAUGUGAUUGAACCUAUGAUUAAGCCUCGGUUAUAUGUCAACUGCAAUGGUAUUGCUAAAGAAGCUCUUGAUGCUGUAAUGGAUGAAAAUGACGUGAAAUUUGAUAUUCUUCCAAAACAGUACGCUGCUGAAUGGAAAAGAUGGCUUGAGAACAUUCGAGAUUGGUGUGUAUCAAGGCAGCUUUGGUGGGGCCACCGAGUUCCUGCAUGGUAUGUGACAUUGGAGGAUGAUAAACUGAAAGAGCUUGGAGCAUACAUGGAUCAUUGGGUGGUUGCUAGGGAUGAGAAAGAGGCUGAAGGUGAGGCUAAAAAGGUCUUUUCAGGGAUAAAGUUUGAAUUGGCUCAAGAUCCUGAUGUUUUAGACACCUAGUUUUCUUCAGGGCUUUUCCCUUUAUCUGUAUUGGGGUGGCCUGAUGAUACUCAAGAUUUGAAGACUUUUUAUCUAACUGCUAUUCUUGAAACUGGGCAUGACAUUUUGUUCUUGUGGGUUGCUCGUAUGGUGAUGUUUGGGAUGAAAUUAGGAGGCGAUGUACCUUUCCAAAAGCCCUAUAUCAUCACGAGCCCCUGAAACACCGGUUCAGCUACAUCUGAUGUGAGAGGUUCUAGCAGAGAUAUGGCCUCACUUAGACCAGUGCCAGCAUAGGAAAUGCCAACAGCCAUGGCUAAUCUAGAUUUAAUUUCUUUAAUCCAGGUGGUGGGGACACCAAAUUACAUGUGCCCUGAACUGCUUGCAGAUAUUCCUUAUGGCUUCAAAUCAGAUAUAUGGUCCCUAGGUAUUUAUUUUUUAUUACAAUUUCAACAUCACUUAUGACACAAGGGUGAAAUGGUCAUUUACUCAUAUAACCCAACUUGGGUUCAGUAUGCAUAAUGAUUUCAUAAAGUUACCCUUCUUAAACUUGAGCCCAAACUUUAAGCCACAUGUUUGUUGCUUUUCAUUUCCCACUUAUUUUUUGUGUUCAAUAAUAUAUAUUUUAGGUUGUUGUAUGUAUGAGAUGGCUGCUCAUCGCCCAGCAUUUAAAGCUUUUGUAAGUCCUCUUGAUUCUUGAACAAGUUUUUCUUAAUAAAUAGUAAAUACUCCUUCUCUUAAUCACUAUUUAACCCAUGAUUAGGGUUAUUUCCAGUGUUUACCUUUAUUGUUAGAACAGCUAUUUGUAUUGUCUUUACUAGUUUUCAGCUUCAUCAUAAAUUGAGGUUUGAUCAUCAGAAUAAUUAUUUGAUGAUUGAAUGAAUCCUGUAUUGGUCCUUUGCCUCCUUGUUAUUCUCCAUCUCUGUAAGUCAAUUAGUUAUAUAAAGUAUAAAUAAACUUACUCUCAUUUAUAUAAUCUUCAAAAACACAAAUAUUUAAACAACAAUUUCAUGAUUUAAACAAUAAACCUUUCAGAAGUUGUAAAAUAAAAUCAAUUUUUUUUCUCUUCAGAAAAACCCUUAUCGAAGGAAUGCUGCGUAAAAACCCAAAACAUCGACCCACUGAAACUGAAAUCUUGAAACAUCCAUAUCUACAACCAUAUGUUGACCAAUACCAGCCUUAAACAUAAUUUUGAAGAAAUCUGAUUUAGAGAAAAAGGGAAUCCAACCUGUUCAGGUUCACUGACAUCCGAUACAGCAAAGUGCAACAACUGUCUAAUAACGGAGAUUUGCACUACUCAUAAGGGAGCCUAUAAGGGAAGGGGAUUUCAUAAUUCAACCAAAGGUGGACUUUGACAUCAGUAUCAGUAUAGUUUCUGGCCUUCUUAAUAUUGGGUAUCAAGCUGUAGCUUACAUUGAAGCAUCUACGUAUAUCUACCAAUAUGGAAAGCUUUUAAUGGAGGUUGAUCAUUUGCAAGAUGUCCUGGGGCCAUAUAUAGAGAACAGGAUAACACUUGCUAAGGUUGCUAUAAAACCUCCAAGAAAACGACUUUGUCCAGAACCCAUGUUGAUGUUAGCUUCAAUGUUCAGCCCCUUUUAAUGGAUUUAUGUUAAAGUGCUAAAGUUGAAGUUUAAAGUGUCAAGGGUUGGAAUGCUAGUAAAGAAAGUUGAAGGAUUGACUAGUAAACAUAAAAUUUUAAGCAACCAAUUUAGUAAAGAAAGUUGAAGGGUUGACUAGUAAACAUAAAAGUAGAAUGAAAAUGACAAGUGAUUUUGUGUUGUGUUUACAGGGUUGAUGAAAGCGAAUAGAUUUGGAGUUAAAAGUGGAAAAGAAAGCUCAAGUUGAAAGAGAUAAGAUGCUGAAAAUGCAAGUGUUGUAUUCUUCAUUUCAAUUGUUGGUAUGAAACAUAGAGUAGAUUAGAUAAAUGCAAAUUUAUAUAUUGUAAGAAAUAGAAUUGUAUGACAUUAAAUUUGAUGCAAUGGAUUGUAUUUUUUUGUA